GAUGAACGCUGGCGGCGUGCCUAAUACAUGCAGGUCGAGCGAACGGACGAGAAGCUUGCUUCUCUGAUGUUAGCGGCGGACGGGUGAGUAACACGUGGAUAACCUACCUAUAAGACUGGGAUAACUUCGGGAAACCGGAGCUAAUACCGGAUAAUAUUUUGAACCGCAUGGUUCAAAAGUGAAAGACGGUCUUGCUGUCACUUAUAGAUGGAUCCGCGCUGCAUUAGCCAGUUGGUAAGGUAACGGCUUACCAAGGCAACGAUGCAUAGCCGACCUGAGAGGGUGAUCGGCCACACUGGAACUGAGACACGGUCCAGACUCCUACGGGAGGCAGCAGUAGGGAAUCUUCCGCAAUGGGCGAAAGCCUGACGGAGCAACGCCGCGUGAGUGAUGAAGGUCUUCGGAUCGUAAAACUCUGUUAUUAGGGAAGAACAUAUGUGUAAGUAACUGUGCACAUCUUGACGGUACCUAAUCAGAAAGCCACGGCUAACUACGUG
rnacentral:rRNA from 1 species